CAUAGCUACGACUUUAGAACGGGAGGUAGCGGGAGGUAUUAUAGUCCGCUGAGCUUUGUUUUGUUUCCAUUGAAACGUAGGACGGACCAUAACUACGACUUUCAUGAGGCUUGCAACCAUAAUUCAUGCCAUUUUUCAUGCCGACUGGAUGUAGGCAUAGGUACCAUAGGUAGUUUUUAUUUAAAAGAAACAUGCAAACAAUUAAUAGGGCGUGGGAUCCGCGUUGCAUUGUGGGACGUGGCGGCCAUGUUGAUGGCUACGAAAACGUGGUUAACAUAACUCUGACAUAACGUUGUUGAACGAAGAGAAGUAGCAGUAGAGUUGAGAAAGAAUAGCUAGAAAAAAUAUGUUAAAAUCCCGAAAAGGAUCUGGAAUUUACCGGGACACAUUAAAUAGAGAUGCCAGGGACCGGUAUGGUGAUAAUAAUGACAAAAUCAGCAUUAUUAAUAAUUUGGAUCCAUAUGAAGUUCCAGCGGCAGGUAGCGGUAAAGGAGGCCAUCAACAUGGCGGUCACGCAAACGUUACAGGCAAGUCCGGCAUAGCGGCCUGUGAAGGAGGGUGUUGGACAGCAGGGGCACUGUUUCUCGGGACACUUGAUGACAAGACGUGGCUCCAUUCUCGUCUCUCCUGCACUGACGGAGCCCAGUAAGCACGAAGGCUGCUCUCGCAUCGAUGGCCUGUCACCGACAUUAUUUGACGACUCUCCAGGCCGGCGUCUGAGAGCCGACCUACAGCGGUGCUUCGGAGGCUGUGGUUUGUGUAGAUCUGCGAAAGACCCACCUGAAAUGUAGAAUGACAGGAUAUUUAUUAUAUUAUGGGGAUGGAGGGAAACUAUUUAGUAGCUAUGGACUGAUACAAAAUUAUAGCCAUAAUCACCUCUUCGCUGAUUCUUUUUAACAUGUUCCCGAGGUAGUGGACACCCAUCGGCUCCCGGGUGUACCACACGCCGGAGGACAGGGUGCGCUUUGGGUGGAGGUAGAACGAUUUGGCAUCUGAUGGACAUUUCGCAAUAUAUUUCUUGAAACUUUCCACCGGACAAAGCGGAUCAUCAGGCCUGGCAAACAUAAACCCUCGUAGGUUUUCCUUUUCAAGUUCAUUCGGGUCUUUGUGAUUCUUGCUUUGGGGAUUGUGCGCCAGGCUGACAUAUUCCACCCCAUCCUCGUCUCUCUGUAGGAUGAAAGAUGACAUGGAUAGCUCCCGGGUUCCCUCCCUGCCACGCCGAGCCAAACAUAUUUGGAUGUCGAACCACACUUUUCUGACCAGGCCGACGGGCGAAUCAGGAGACAGUGCAGUUGAAGAUCUAAUACGUUUGAGGUCCGACUCGGAGAUACGGGGAUGGUGGAGGCUGGUAUCUUUACCACUUUUCCUGUACCGUUUAAUUACGGAUGUAAACACGGCAUUGCUGGUCCUGAAUCUGGUGUCAGUUAUAAUAUUGAAGCCAACUAUAUAACGUUUAAUACCGGCUCUCAGACUCCUUAGGCUGGCUAUGCUGUACUCCCCUCCUGUCUUGGUGGACUGGACAGCGGCAUAAAACUCCCGCAGAGUCUCAUUAAGAGCAUCAGCGGUGUAGUUUACCAAGUUGGGGUCCAUUCGUUUUUGUUCAAGAAAGUCUCUCAGUAUAUUAACUGCCCAUUUUGUUGUUUUUUUGGUGUUGAUCUCAUCUUUGUCAUCUUCUAUUUGAUUUAAUUCUCCCGGUGUUAACUCCUUGUGCCGUUGCUUUCUUUUCCUCUUUUCCAUUUCUUUUUCUUCUGCUGCAUCCCAGUCAUCGAAGUUGUCAUAUACUCCAAAUAAAUUAAAAGAAAUGUUGAAAUCA